ensembl:lncRNA
CUCCGAGCCUCAUUUUCUCUGAUUAGAGUAAAUCAUUAUACUGAUAUUCACCACCCUGAAGGCCAAUGAAACCUGAAAGUAAAGCUAAGUGACUCUGACUCCCAAAACACUUUUGAAAGUCCCACUGUAAUUUUCUCUUACACUUGAAGAUGGGCUCAUCAGGAAUUGGGAAAGACCUUGCAUAGGUAAAACAUACAUAUUUUAAGAACUACAUGGAAAUAAAGUAAAAUAGACCACAACAGUUACAAGUUUUUGCCCAUCUGUCCAAUUUGUGUCUUUCAAGCUCUAUACAGACAAGAACUUCAUUGUUUACAUAUCGCAUUGAGUGUGUUAGUAAUGUCGUUUGGAUCAAAGAAAUUGCCUAGCCCUAUUUUUGGCUCAGCAAGUUGCUGUAAAGGUUUUUAUGAAUACACUUGGUAGACAAGGUGUUCUUGUGCUGAAAUAUUGUUCCCAUAUCUUGAAUAUUACAAGAAAAAAAAAACUAUUAGAAAUAAACAACCAACACCAGAAACAGAUAUCUUUGAAUAGCAUUCUGACUCAUGCAAGAAUUUUCCUCAGUAACCAACUCCACUGCCAUCAUUAACUCCAUCUGUAAAAUGGAGGUUUUGAAGAUAGGCUCAAGAAGAGCAUAUCAAAGGUUGAAAAAGUCACUCCACCUAUUUAAAUCCACAGUCUCAUGCAAUCCAUUUUUACAGUGCACAUGCUGAGUACUGAAUAUGAACCAACAGAUACAAAGUGAUGAGUAAGACAGGAAACGCAGAGAAACCUGAUAUUGGAAUAAAGGGAGAACCGAAGCUAUCAAUUUACUCUCCUUGUGUAGCAAGAGCGAGGACAAUGCUGAACAUUAAAUGCUUAAUACACUUCCUUAUUAAGGGUUGGACUUAGACACCAACAAAUCUCCACUGAAACCUCAGCCCUGUUUCUCGUGUUGCAAAGGAGGCAGGGAGUAUUGAAAGAUGAUUCUCAUUAGUACCAAGAGCCCCUCUCACCCUCACCUUCCUCCAAGCCCCAUCGUCCCUGCUUGUUCUCUGUGCUGGAGCCUGGGAACAGUGCCCCUUCUCAUCACACACUGCUGACAGAGCUGGCUGGGAAGAGCACGCUGCUGGACUCGCAGAUGAGUGGAGCCUCUGAAGACCUCAAUUCUCUUUCUGCUCAGCCCUCAGAUAAAACAUUUAGCAGCCUCUGCCAAGCUGCAGCAGCAUGAAGUGCCUCCAGCUCCAGCCACCAUCAGCAAGAAGUCACAAAGCCUGCAUGGUCCUGGUUAAAGAACAGCCACAGCCAAGCACUCUCGUGUGGCCACAGUGCAAGCGUGCACCUCAGCGCUGGUAGAGACUUUUUCACUGCAGUUCAUCUCCCUCAUCCUUAAGUAACCCCUCUGGGAAGUCAGAACAAGCAUCCAUUGCAGCAUAGGACCUUCAUUUUAACAAGCUUCUUGAAGACUCAUCUGUUGGUCUGGCUACAUUGUCCAGUCAGAGGAUUCCUUCCAAUCAGGAACUGGUGGUGGAGAGAAAAGGAAGUCUAAAUUCAGCAGCAAGGUCUGAGAGCCAAAGGAGUGGAACUGCGUAAACAGUGGGACUGGAAUUCAGAAUACUUUCCAAACAGAUGUAACUGGCAUCUUCAUAACUGCUCAAUUAGUGGCACUUGAUUGGAUAAGCAAGUUCAUCUCCGGCCUCCUGAAUCCCUCCAUGACUUGUAAAUCAGCUCAGUGACCUGUGGACAGUCAGAAGGUAUGGAGCAAAUUCCAGCACUAAUGACAUUUAGAGUGAUAAACCACAGCUUCUAAUUAACACUGAAGAGAAAAGGAAGACAAAGUCAUCCUGGGAUUGUGUGAAUUCUGAGUACGGGUUGUUUUCUAACCAAAAUGCUGGCCUAAAAGAUUUUCUCGCUGACAACCUGUCACCACAAACCGUAUUCCAUCAUCCACAUUUGCUUCCCACUUCUCUUACCAUCCACGAUGCAGAAGAGGGAAGGCUCUCCAAGAGGCAGGACAUUCAUCUCUAUUCUUCUUUUCUUCUUCAGAAAUAAAGUCCUUCCACAGAGGAAUCUUCCUUGCAAUUUGCCAGCUCAUUUGAACUUUAGAAUCCUCUUAUUUGAAUUCAACAGGACAGUUCUUCAGUUGGACACACUUGGCUGAUCUGCAUCAUCAGUGAGAAAACCACCAUCUGCAACCACCUCUUGGCUGCUGCUCCCACUUAUGAACGUUCAGCUCUUUGAGGCUGUGAUUCUCAAUUUAUCUCAUUUUAUUUACUUACAUUUGAAGGCUUUUGUUACAAAGAACAAAACGUGUCUAACAGUUUGAUACUUCUUCCAUCCUUUCCUUGGGGCUGCAAUUAAACUUUCUUUAGGUAGUCUUUGGUGUGUGGGGUACUAUGAGCUGCUGGUUUUCGUAAGGCCCACAGCUGCUCUAUCUGCAGUACUCAGUAAUACUUCUGAACAGAUUAGAAAGACAUUGCUAACAUUGGGUAUGCUUGGGAGGAAUGAUUAUUUAGAUAGACAAAAUGAAAAUAGAGAAAGUAUUCUGCUUAGAGAAAGAUGCUGACUGCAAAGGACAACUAGCAUGUUUAUUAUGCAUCUGUCUUUUUCUUGUCCAUCACUUCCUUUUUGGGAAUACAGCACAGUAUUGGCUUCUUGUGAAUAAGCACCUGAUUCACAGCUUAGGACCUUGUAGAUUCCAUGUGAUUGUGUUAAGACAUCCUUAUAUUUCUCAUGCUCGUACUAGAUUGCCUUGUGUGUCAGAACAUUUUCAUAACCCCUCCUCACAUACUGCUGUACAUACACAGAAAUAGAAAUGUGGGUUUCCUGGUCAGAUUUCUGAAGCAGAUUCUUUAAAAAAUGGCUGACUGAUCUGAUAAGAGACAAAAGGUCAGAAAUUCCCUUGUUCCCACCUUUAUCAGCUCUUGUCCCCCUCUUUGUCAUUCAUUCCCACAUUUUGGAAGGAAAAAAUAGUCAAGUAUCUUACUGAGUGGUUUCAGAUUUAUUCCCCCUCUCUUGCCUCACAGUUUGGAUGUUUCCCUUCCUCAUCACAUCGAUCUCCAUUUCACACCAGAUGAGCUUCAUUCACCAGUCCACAGUUGCCAACCAGAUUCCUCUGGAGAAGAGUAAGCCUAAAGCCACAAUCCAGCACCAAAGUGGUUCUCAAGCCAAACCAAAAGGAGGCUGUCUUCCAGUGCACAAUACAUUAUUUUCAGAAAGUUUUACAUCUCAUGUGCAGUGGUGACAUUCAACCUAGAGGUCUAAACUCUACUUAAUUGAAAAUAAAUUCUCUGAACCACAUGGAAUGAAAUUGUGAGGAGCCUAAGCACGUAUUGGUCUGAUCUAUAAUAUCUUUUUCUGUAACACUGAAUAGUGUAAGGUAUAUAUUACACACAAUGUCUGCCCAGUCUGCAACCCUCUCAGAUCACUAAGAAUCUCUGUCCUUGACAAGGCUACUUUCACAAAGUAUACAGAGAUCUUGAGACAUCUACCUCUAUAGGUUCAAAAUUUCUGGAUGGACAAAAAGACCAAUACUUUCAUAUGCAUUUGCACUUCCUCAGAGAACUAGUUAAAACUCCUGGCACUCACGCUGAGACAUAAAUCCAUGUCCGAACAAUGAUAUCAAUAAACAGCCCUCUGUAAUUAUGCCAAAAUGUUUUUGCAUUAAGAUGUUGUCAGCUCAUAUGUUUCAACUAAAUGCAUACUAUAAGACUAAACUGAAACUCUGAAUUUGGAAUUUCUUAAACUUUCAGGGGCAGAAAGGAGUCAUUUGAAUCUUGCGUGUUCAUUCCAUGAAGGGCUUAAUCAAAAUCAAUUCCCACCUCACCAACUUUAGAAAGGGAUUUAAAUCCAGUACCAGAUUUGGAUCUGAAUGUUGUGCCUGGGGGCUCAUUUCUGUUAUCAAUUAGUAGUUGCUCUUGUGAUGUAUCAAAAGGCAGUAGCGUAUAGGCUGUUGUUUAGAGAUGUACAUAAUGUAGCUUUAAAUUUCAUUGGGAAACUAAACAAAACCUCUGGCCUUAGGGCUGCAUGUUCAAAUACUACAGUCCCAUAGUGCAUUACACCAGUCAACACUUCUUUUCAAAUACCACCCGCAUAACAAUUAACCUCACUUCAACCUUGAGGUCUCUGAUUAGUGAUGGCCUAUUGUUUAAGUUACAUUAACAUAGCCCCUGUGUUGCCCUAUUCUCACUCAAAUGGACUAAUCAAAUCAGUCACCAAGGACUUAAGCUAAGUCCAACUUCUUUAGUAAGCAGCGAUUUUCUAUUUAAGUAGAAUGGUGGAUGUCAUCAACAUGGUCACAAUUAGUAUAGCUCUGGCAUGGAAAACACUUGUAAUGAUCUCCAAUUUGUGAAAUAUCAAGGGCCCCACCAACUUGCAAUAUGACAAUUUCUACGUAUGCUAGAAAAAUUACAAUAUCAAUAGAGUAGUCACUAAUGCAUUACCUUGUACAAGACUAGGUCUCUGAAAGGACAGAACCUCAAUUGGAUUCCAUUUAAUUUCAGGAAGCAAAUGCUGUUUUGAACCAAUAGAAAUAAAAACAUGUUACAGCAUUUUUUUUAAUGUUAUUUUUCACUACCCACACCACAUUUAUUAUGUAAAAGGAAAGCAUUGUUUAUUUUUCCAAAUCUAGUUACAGAUUUGUUAUUCUUGACAUUCUUAUUUGGAUUGCACAACUCUGUUUUCAUUCACAUUAACUAAUUCUUGCUGUUUCAGUCAUUUGUAAUUAAAAAUUGUCUAGUGUUCUUUCUUUAAAUUAUUUUUAGAACUGCCUUCUAUUUCUGACAAGGUAAUGGAUGACUCGAGCACAAAAUUCUAAGGAGAAACUGGAAAAGUCACGGAAAACACAAGUGAAACUUCACCAGUAGAAAUUCAGGGCCAAAUUUUCAAAAGGACAAUUAUGCACAUAAGGAGUUACUGCUCGCUUAUCAGCAGAGAUACCCACUGUGCACAGGCAAGCAGUUCUGUUAUUUUCAUGCACACCUCAUUGCUGCACAAGCAGCAUGCGCAUUUUCCAGCCAUUCAGAUCUUGUUUUCCUAUGAAAACACAGCAAAAAGUCAACGUGGGAACAACCAACCAUUGUUGCAGGGUGUAGAGGAUGCUGAGGAUUUUCAAAAUGGAGCCUGUCUUAGAGAUAAGAAUUUGCUCUGAUUGUAACAGUUAAUUCCUACCAAAUGAAAAAUAACCUUUUCUUUCCUUUUUUUUUUUCCCCUUGUUGCCUUGUUUUCUUGCCAAACUGUAUCCGCUUUCACAGUCAAAUACUUUUUCAGAGACUGCAGCAAAAUCAUGCUCUCUCUUCUCUGAAUACGAUGAAGUUUCUAGAUAAUGUUCACACGUAGCUUUUCUUUUAUGAUCAGCUAGAACACUGUGCACAGAAUAAACAUUGCCAGAUGCAUUAAACGUUUUAUUUCUGUGCUUCAGAGAAUGAAAUUUGGCAGAAAUAUUCCCUAAUUUAAAUCCAGCUUUUGUCUGCCUCAUUGCUUUACACACCAUGUAGUGAAAGAACUGGCUUCACACUGCUCCCACAACACCAGUCCAUCUGACUGACAAUAGAUCCAAUCUGCAUUACAUGGGAGGCCAUGUGAGCAGUCCAUUCUGCUCCUCCAUCUCCACCAACAGCUGGAACUGGACUUGGACUAAAUGCCAAGAGAAUUUGCAUGACAGCACGUUUGGAGCAAGCAUGCUAUAAAUUCACCACUGCUGCAAAAUGGCAAACCAUAGGCCUCAUCUACACAGAAGUUACAUGAAUUUAAAUUAAAACCAAUUUAGUCUAAACCAGAAUGAACUUCUGUGUGAACACUCAAUAAUUUAAAAUCAUCUCAUUUCAGUUUAUCUGGCACUGGUAGUGUCUCCCAGAAGACAGUUAAUAAAUGCAAGAGAAACACAGAUAUUAAAGAGCAGUAGUCAUCUUUAAUUAAACUCACUCUGAGGCCCACCUGUAGUCCCUUCACUGACAGGGGCUAUGUUGAGGCUAUUCAUACUUGUCAUUCUGGGCCAGACUCUCUUGCAGUCCUCUUUCCUUGUUUACCUUACUAGCACUCAAUCAUUUCACCCCGGAGGACUCCAGAAGUGGCAUCAGCACAUCACCCAGCCUUUGGUCGGGUUGGAUCCUUCCAGCCUGCCAGCAAACACACUGGGGCAGUAGAUCCUGGAGUGGCAAAAGCUGCACAUUCUCCAGCCAUUGUUUUGGCGACGUUACCCCUGGGCAUGGACCCCCGCCUGCACUGCCUCCUGUUGCUCUUUUGUUCAAGAGGAAACUUGUCAUUUAGAGGCUGAUUAUUAGUUUUCUUUUCUCUCCCCUCCCAAGUCCCCCUCUAACUGGAUCAUCACCAGUUUUAGAAGAGUUGCCCCUUUCUAAAGAAAAGAAAACAGAAUAAACAACCCCUUCCCAGUCCCUGUCAGAGCUCUCUUCUUUUCACCAACAUCCAUUUUCUCCCAACCAAAAUGAAAGGACAGAGAGAGAAAGACAGCUUCUUCCCUCUCCCUACAAUGAAACAACAAAGAGCACAAACAAAAUUAAAAUUAGGCAUUUAAGCUGAUUUUCACCACUUAACUUUUGACAUGUUUUUUGCAAAUUUCCUUCAAGUCCCCGCUGAAGAUUCAGCCAAUGAAACCCACUGCAUCAAGUGGUGUUACUAAGCCUUUUUGCACUUCUGUGAAACGACAUACAUGUUGUUUGGGGGCAGCAAAGGCACCUUUCUGCUAAUCAUAAAACUGUGAGAUAAUGACAGAACAAAGUAACUGUCCUUUUCGGGAGAAAUCAAGAGUGAAAUGCAUAAUUUUUCAAGUUUAACUCUGGAAGUACUUUAGGUCUGAGGCAUCCAAAUACAGUCUAGAAAAGGCUUUCCAGGUGGGUGAUUUUUUUUUUUUUAGAAGUUAAAGCCAUUGCCCUAAAGUUCUGUUCUAUCUUAUGCCCAACGUCGCAUCAGUUCAGUUCCAUUGUCUUGCUUUCAGAAGUAAUUGUUUUUCUCUUCAGAAAUAUAUUUUUCUUCCAGUAAGUCUGCAUCAUAUUCAUCAUCUGGAAUUUAUUGGGAGCACUGCACUGGGCUGAGUUUGCAGCUGCUCCUAAUCAUAACUGAUGUGCUUAGAGCAGACCUGCAAAAUGCUUGGCAGGCAAGGGUGGGACUGCCUGUCCGGCACAGCUCCUCCUUCACCAUGCUCCAGAGAUUUUGCUGAUCUCCAUUUUCAGGUGUAAUUCAAAAAGGCAUUUUUGAUCCACAAAGCCAUUCAUGGUUUAAGAGCUUGUAUUUCUUCAAGACUGUUUCUCUGUUUCAACAUCAUGUUUCACCUGGCAGCCAAGAUUGGCUGCAGUUGCCUGAGAUGAAUAGCAAUGUUGAGUCCAUAAAAUACAGGAGAGUUUGUGGAAUGACAGACUGUUCUCCUUGGGUAUACAGCAUAGGAGCAAUGGAAAGAUAGAGAGUAUCUCAUUUCAUAGAGAAGAAAAGAGAGAAGGACAUUUUUUUUCAUUAAAAAAAUCAAUUUCUUUGUAAUUAAGAUCUGAAAAAUGGAAUACAUCCCCUGCAUUCUCGUAAAAUUACUAAGAAAUGAGUGUAUGAUUUACACCCAUGUUUGUAUUGUGGUUCACAUCCACAGUAGUAUCUUUUCCUUAGAAGCUAUUAAGAAUUUUAAUUGUACUAUUCAGAUUUUGAGUUAAUUCAGGAAAUCUGGAGGGAAAGAAAAAAAAUCUCCUAUACAAAUACAGGAUGUUACCAGAACAGGAGAUAGUAUAAACAGAAGCUCGAUUUUGGGAAGCAGAAAAGUAGAAUCUUGUGUAAUAUCUUAAAUACAACCCAAAGCACGCAGUAGUGCUAGGCAGGCAGUUGCAGAUAUCCUCACUGAGGCAUGAUCCCUAGGUCUAGAAGAAACCUUCUGCUCUGAUCUAUGUAUUCCAUGAGAUGAGAUUAUGCCUGCACAGCUUUGCAAAUGUCCAGCUUCUCCUGGGAUUAAUCUCUGGUUUACCAGCCUACCUGACAGAGGCAAGAUACAGAAGUUGUUACAGUACACACACAGGAUUCCUCCCAGCUAACCUCCAGUGUCUGCUGCCUCCAACCAAAAUAGCCUUCCAAGGACUAUCCAGGCUUCUCCACCUGCCCUCAUUUCCUCUCCUCCUUCCCAGCUUCCCACAUACUCAUUCCAAGGUUUUCUAUCUUUCUUUACUGAUGCAACAGCCAGCCAAAAUAUUUUUAUUGACUUACCCAUAUUAACUGCUUUGAGCUUAGUUUAACUGGUUGUGUUACAGUAUGCCAGUGGUUUGAUUGCAGUUUCCCUAAGGAUGGAAGAUCUUCAUCACUCCAUCCUCUUCUCAUAACAGGAAAUGUUUAACACUUAUGUCUGUGAAGACGACUGACUAGAUGACUUCAAAGCAUUUCAGAAACAUAAGCCACAUGGAGAAUUAGAAGUUCUCUCUUAUUUAUUUUUCCCAGAAUCCCUUUAAAAUCAAAUGUUACCUUGUUGCCCCUGCAUUCAGCAUGUCACGUUACUUCUUGUAUGUUUGUGACUAGCAAAGCUGCCCACCGCCUUGUGUUGGCUUGAGUUCAACAUCCCAUGUUUUGCGAUACAUGUUCAUGGCUAUAGUUUCAGUUACAUGAAGCUAGCUCAGUAAAGAUAACUGAAUUGAAGAAAACACCAUUUUCCCUCUCUUAGAGAAGACUUGAGUGGAAAGGGAUUGUGAACACUUAGCACUACAUACAGCAAGGGAGUAGGAAACCGUCUGCUCCACUGCUGCCGGCUUCCCUGAGCCUAGGGACCUGAAAGAUGCCCCAGGCUCCCCAGCAGCAGUUGCUAAGGAAACAUUUUAGGGAACCUUUUUCAUAAAUUCAUAGUAAUCUCCAUUUCUCAAAUGUCAAGGCUAAUGACUCACCCUUUGAUUGCAAAUGGGAUUUACUACCACAGAAUUGCUGGCAGCCUUCAAAGCUAAAUUGUAUUUGUCAGCAUUUGAAGACUUUUAGUACGUUGGUUACCACUGCUCCCCUUGAGUGAGCGGAAAAUGUAGAUACAUGAAUAUCUGGCAGAAUUCCCUCAGAAAUAUUUGAACUCUUCUUCCUAUGUUUUCACUUAGGAAAGAAGAGGGGAUCUGGUGUCUCAGGGGCUGGCUGCAGUGCAAACCCCCACAGUGUAGCCACCACCAUUGGGGGUCUCAGGAAGGCAGUGCCACCUGUCCUGGGGAGCAGGGACAAACAGAGGAGACACAACCUGCCAUCUCCUGUGGAGGUCAGUUCAGCUGGAAGGCAGCUGAACAAGUCCAUGGAUUCCCUGCAAGUUACACAUGAAUCAGUGUACUAGCAUCCAGGACUUUCCUCUGAUUAACUGCUCCACAACCUAACAAAGCUGGUCUACCACUCACAUGUUUGGGAAUAACAGCAACAACCAGAACAAAUGAUGCUCCAUUACUUCACAAUCUUCUUUCUGCCAAGUGCCAAGCUUGCAAAUACACCCUGAGAUUUUCUUCUUUAAAGUGUGUGAUGAGACCAGACGUUAAGGAUGAUAUCAAUUGCUUUGAUAGCAAUACAUAUUUAGAAGAUUCCAUCCAGAGUAAUACAGACCUCAUUGCCGGUGGAUCUAUUGCCAAGUUAAAAGCUUAAAGGCUUAAAUACAAUUCAAAGAGUGGUACUUUAGAUACCUGGAUCUUUAAAAGCACAUAAAGAAUCCUCAGAAUUGUGGGUCUAACCGCACAGUUUUUGUAUGAGAUAUUAUGUAAACAAUUUGUAUUUAUAGAAAUGUAUAUUAUAAACCAAUUUGGGUAUUGUUUUAUUGUAUUUAGUUUUCCAAUUAGUAUAAAAUUUACAAAUAUUAUGCAAUUUUAACUGAUUAAAUUAUGUGUCCCUGUGGCUCAUGGAAAACCUUUCUCCCUUGACAUGCUGAUGAUGGGUAUGUGGAAAAUACCACUGCUGAGACCAGAAAAGUUGAUCUAUGUAGCAUCACAUACACCAUGUGUUCUGUUACACAAUAGCAGUAUGGGCCCACUCAAGGAUCUGUGUUUAAAACAAGAGGAAACAACUACAGAGGAGCAUUUACACAUAACUGAGAUGCUUCCAGGUCACUCUGAACACUAUUUUCAUAAACAGGCAGGUGGAGAAAAAACACUCUCAUCCAACUUCUGCUUUCCUUCUCCAUGGAAAACUUAUCCUUCAG